rnacentral:tRNA from 1 species
AUUUAAAUAGCUUAAAAAUUAAAGUUUAAUAUUGAAGAUAUUAAGAUGAUUAAAAUAAUCUUUAAAUA